AACGAACGCUGGCGGCAUGCCUAACACAUGCAAGUCGAACGAGAUCUUCGGGUCUAGUGGCGCACGGGCGCGUAACGCGUGGGAAUCUGCCCUUGGGUUCGGAAUAACAGCUGGAAACGACUGCUAAUACCGGAUGAUGACGAAAGUCCAAAGAUUUAUCGCCAGAGGAUGAGCCCGCGUAGGAUUAGCUAGUUGGUGUGGUAAAGGCGCACCAAGGCGACGAUCCCUAGCUGGUCUGAGAGGAUGAUCAGCCACACUGGGACUGAGACACGGCCCAGACUCCUACGGGAGGCAGCAGUGGGGAAUAUUGGACAAUGGGCGAAAGCCUGAUCCAGCAAUGCCGCGUGAGUGAUGAAGGCCUUAGGGUUGUAAAGCUCUUUUACCCGGGAUGAUAAUGACAGUACCGGGAGAAUAAGCUCCGGCUAACUCCGUGCCAGCCGCCGCCGUAA
rnacentral:rRNA from 1 species